rnacentral:rRNA from 1 species
CUUUGAUUAUGGCUCAGGACGAACGCUGGCGGCGUGCUUAACACAUGCAAGUCGAACGGAGCACCCUUGAUUGAGGUUUCGGCCAAAUGAUAGGAAUGCUUAGUGGCGGACUGGUGAGUAACGCGUGAGGAACCUGCCUUUCAGAGGGGGACAACAGUUGGAAACGACUGCUAAUACCGCAUGACGCAUUUUGAUCGCAUGGUCGAAAUGCCAAAGAUUUAUCGCUGAAAGAUGGCCUCGCGUCUGAUUAGAUAGUUGGCGGGGUAACGGCCCACCAAGUCGACGAUCAGUAGCCGGACUGAGAGGUUGACCGGCCACAUUGGGACUGAGAUACGGCCCAGACUCCUACGGGAGGCAGCAGUGGGGAAUAUUGGGCAAUGGGCGCAAGCCUGACCCAGCAACGCCGCGUGAAGGAAGAAGGCUUUCGGGUUGUAAACUUCUUUUAAGUGGGAAGAGCAGAAGACGGUACCACUUGAAUAAGCCACGGCUAACUACGUGCCAGCAGCCGCGGUAAUACGUAGGUGGCAAGCGUUGUCCGGAUUUACUGGGUGUAAAGGGCGUGCAGCCGGGCAUGCAAGUCAGAUGUGAAAUCUCAGGGCUUAACCCUGAAACUGCAUUUGAAACUGUAUGUCUUGAGUGCCGGAGAGGUAAUCGGAAUUCCUUGUGUAGCGGUGAAAUGCGUAGAUAUAAGGAAGAACACCAGUGGCGAAGGCGGAUUACUGGACGGUAACUGACGGUGAGGCGCGAAGGCGUGGGGAGCGAACAGGAUUAGAUACCCUGGUAGUCCACGCUGUAAACGAUGGAUACUAGGUGUGCGGGGAUUGACCCCCUGCGUGCCGCAGUUAACACAAUAAGUAUCCCACCUGGGGAGUACGAUCGCAAGGUUGCAACUCAAAGGAAUUGACGGA